AGGUCCUCAAUAAGUAUUUGUUGAAAGAAUAAAUGAACCAACAAGUCUUAUUUGAGCACCUGUUAUG
rfam:Canis lupus familiaris chromosome X, whole genome shotgun sequence.